UACGAAGGGGGCUAGCGUUGCUCGGAAUUACUGGGCGUAAAGCGCACGUAGGCGGCUUGUUAAGUCAGGGGUGAAAUCCUGGAGCUCAACUCCAGAACUGCCUUUGAUACUGGCGAGCUUGAGUUCGGGAGAGGUGAGUGGAACUGCGAGUGUAGAGGUGAAAUUCGUAGAUAUUCGCAAGAACACCAGUGGCGAAGGCGGCUCACUGGCCCGAUACUGACGCUGAGGCACGAAAGCGUGGGGAGCAAACAGG
rnacentral:rRNA from 1 species